rnacentral:rRNA from 1 species
GACGAACGCUGGCGGCGUGCUUAACACAUGCAAGUCGAACGAAGUGGCGAACGGGUGAGUAACGCGUAAUCAACCUGCCCUUCAGAGGGGAACACCAGUUGGAAACGAAUGCUAAUACCGCAUACUGAUGGGGGGGAUUGCGUCUGAUUAGCUCGUUGGGGGGGUAACGGCCUACCAAGGCGAUGAUCAGUAGCCUGUCUUAGAGGAUGAACGGCCACAUUGGGACUGAGACACGGCCCAGACUCCUACCGUAGGCAGCAGUGGGGAAUCUUCCGCCAUGGGCGAAAGUCUGACGGAGCAACGCCGCGUGAGUGAUGACGGCCUUCGGGGUGUAAAGCUCUGUUAAUCGGGACGCGUUACCGGAAUAGAAAGCCACGGCUAACUACGUGCCAGCAGCCGCGGUAAUUC